AUACGGCGGGAGUCAUUGGUUCAAAUCCAAUAGUAGGUA
rnacentral:tRNA from 2 species